AAUUAAUUUAGAUAUAGUUAGUGAAGUUAGGAGAAUACUUGGUAUAAUUCUUAUAUUAAUAAUAUUUUAUUAGAUUGGAGAGAGAGUAGUUUCAUGCGUGCUAUUUUUUUUUGGUAAUGCAUGAACUACAUAUAUAUAUAUAUAUGAGACCUAUUCCCACUAGCUAUGUGUAAAUGAGAUGAGAAGGGAAUUUAUAAAAAAUUUAUUUGUUUUACUCUACACGUGGAUACUAGGUGGAGGACAUGAUUGGAAAAGUUUAAAGAUUUAGCCAUAGAAUUGUGUGAGGACUUAGGUUCGGCUCAACUAAAACCCAUUUUCAUGGAAUAGUAUCAACUCUUUUGACCGAGUAAUAAGGUGGGAUUGAGGGGUUUAGUUAUUUAUUUAAAUACUUGUUAUGUGAAGCACGGUUAGUGCUGGAGUUAGUGGGUAAGAGACCUAGGCCUAUAAAUAGAGAGCUUUUGCUCACUUAUUCAUUUCACUCAAAUAGUCAAAUAGCUAUCCGGUAUAUUCUUCUUCCAUUUUCCUCUACACUGAAGUGAUUUUAUUCUAUCUUUUACAGUCAAACACUUGUUUCUCCAAGAGCCAAAUAGUCCUACACACCAUCAUAAUUACUAGAAGCUUUAAACAUCAACAACCUCUCUUAAACAUCACCAUCAUUCUUCCAUACAUUUAUAUAUUUCCUUCAUCAUAUCGGCAUCACCAUUACCACUAUUUUCACAUUCAAAUUUUAGUGCUCUGCUAGUUUUCUUUGGAAAUUAAGGUUUUUCGUAAGACAAUUAUUUCUCAAGAAUCACUCUCUUUGCAAUCAAGGCUAGGACUCCACAUUCGAGAUUAAGGUUCUAAAACUUAGAGAGCUGGUGGCAAGUGAGACCUUGGAGGCUUGUGUGUGUGUACUCGCUGAGGACCAUAUAACUGAGGGUGGUCUAGGGCACGCUCCAUUUAUUUUAUUUAGUGUUAUUAAAUUAAUGUCGCAGUUAUUUUUAUUUAUUAAUUAUUAUGUCUUUUAAGUCCAAACUGAGCUCAAAUAUGAAAUAUUUUAUGUUUAUAAGUAAAAGCGACAUUAUAGUUUUUCCGCAUUUUAACGCUUGUAACUAAAUUAGUAAUUUAUGAAAAAGUUCGGGCGUUACAGUAGUAACCCAUGUCAUGUUGGGAUACACUGUCGUGGUGGCCAUUUUAGCUUACUUUCUUCUCUUCAGUGGCUUCUUCAUUAGUCGUGAUCGAAUCCCACGUUACUGGUUGUGGUUCCACUAUAUCUCGCUGGUUAAGUACCCCUAUGAAGCAGUUUUACAGAACGAGUUUGAUGAUCCAAUUAAGUAUUUUGUGAAAGGAAUUCAGAUUUCUGAUCAGUCUCUACUCGGUGCAGUGCCGACGUUGAUGAAAGGGGAGCUUUUGAAGACCAUGAGUAAGACUCUGGGAAUGAAUAUUACUGGCUCCACUUGCGUGACCACCAGAACGGAUAUACUCAAGCAGCAUAGGAUUACUGAUAUUAGUAAAUGGAACUGCUUGUGGAUCACAAUUGCUUGGGUUUUUUUCUUUAGAAUCCUUUUCUACUUCACUUUGUUUUUAGGGAGCAAGAACAAGAGGUCGUAAUAAGUUUCUAGUACACAAAAAUUAUUUAUAGCUUCAUUUUCAUUUUAAAAGAAAUUAAUGUGGGAAAUGUACGUUUAAUUUGAAGUAACUUUUUCUUUUCUUCCUUUGUAUUUUUUUAGCAUGCGUAAUUGAUUUGUAUGUGCUGUUUUUGAACUUUGAAAUACAACUAACUUUGUCUUUGAAUUAAUAGAUUAACUAGGUAAUAUUACCGCGCUUUGCGCGGUUUUGUUAUAUAAUAAAUUUAUAUAUUUAGCUUUAAUAUUUUUGUAAAAUAUUUAUAUAUAUUAAUUUGAGAAAGAAAUUUAUACAUUAUUUAAUUUUAUUUUUUACUAAUAGUAUAUUAUAACUACUGAAUCCAUAAAAAAAAAGAGUAGAUAUAAAAAUUUGUGAACCAACUUUAUUUCUUAAUAAUUGGAUCUAGAGAUAUUAUAUAUUCUUAUACUAUAUUAAUAUAAAGUAAGACUAUAGUACACUGCUUUAAUUAGUAUUUCAAUAAAUUUUAUAUUCGUUUUGGUAUUUAGACAUGAAAAUAUUUUAGUCAAUAUUUUUUUUAAUAUGAACGUGUACACUAUAGAUUAUUUGCGCUUUGCGCGGUAUUUAUAAUAAAUAAUAAGUUUUUUUAAAAAAAUUAUGAAUUUAUUUUAUUUUAUAAUUAAUAUUGUAUUUAAUUAUUUUCCACUUGAUUAAAAAAGAUAAAUAGUUUUUUUCCUUUCCAAACAAUAAGAAAGCCCUAUAAAUAUUAUUACAUGUAUUCAAAGUAAUAAUUUUUUUUUUCACUUGA